rnacentral:rRNA from 1 species
UACGGAGGGUGCGAGCGUUGUCCGGAAUCACUGGGCGUAAAGGGCGCGUAGGUGGCCCGUGGAAGUCUGCGGUGAAAGCCCGGCGCUCAACGCCGGGUCGGCCGUGGAUACUCUCGGGCUUGAGCUUACUAGAGGCAGAUGGAAUUCCGGGUGUAGCGGUGGAAUGCGUAGAGAUCCGGAAGAACACCGGUGGCGAGGGCGGUCUGCUGGGGUAAUGCUGACACUGAUGCGCGACAGCGUGGGGAGCAAACAGG